AAAAUAGAAGCAAAUAAAACAUAAAUUAAAAGGAUAAGUUUAGACAACUGGGUUGCCUCCCUAGUAGCGCUUGUUUAACAUCACAAGCCUAACCCAAACCUUUCUAGCACUUGUUAGUAAGUGCAAAUCUUUCCAACACCCUUCAGUAGGUGUACUUCCCUGUAUCCUUCAGUAGAUACCUAAAUCCUCUAGCAUCCCUCAGUAGAUACUAUCCCAGUAGCAUUCAUCAGUAAAUGUUGUCAGUGACAUCCAUCACUAGAUGUCUAUUUACUGUCCUCUCGC
rnacentral:lncRNA from 1 species